AGCGGCGGACGGGUGAGUAACGCGUGGGUAACCUGCCUCAUACAGGGGGAUAACAGUUGGAAACGGCUGCUAAUACCGCAUAAGCACACAGUACCGCAUGGUACCGUGUGAAAAACUCCGGUGGUAUGAGAUGGACCCGCGUCUGAUUAGCUAGUUGGUGGGGUAACGGCCUACCAAGGCGACGAUCAGUAGCCGACCUGAGAGGGUGACCGGCCACAUUGGGACUGAGACACGGCCCAA
rnacentral:rRNA from 1 species